GCUUGUACUGGUUCAGAAAAAAUAUUGCAAUCCAGGCUAAGGACAGGUCUCAUCCUAUCUGGGUUGUUUCCCUUUGCUUCCUGUGCCACAAGCCCUUGCAGAGAACAUUGUGUCCAGUACAUCUGCUGUGCAACAGAACUGUGUGGUUGUAGAGCACGUUUUUACGUAAGAGGAGGUGGCGAACUAAAGUUUUCAGAAUCCCUAUUGAGCACAAGAAUAUUUUUCAUAUUCAAGUGACUGGAUGAGUUUCCUCAGUGUUUAACGUUUGCAGGUUAGAACACCAGGGUUUAAGAGAACCCCGGUGAAGAUGGAGGGAAAAGUCUGUUUACUUUACAUGUAUAGAUGGGAUAUUUGUUUGGUCUAGGUUGUAAUUUAAGUAAUUGUUUAUUAGUGUGUGGCUGAUUUCCAAGGUCCAGCAACUGACAUUUGAGUGAGCAGAGUGAGUUGUUAGAGUGGGAUAGGAGCAGCAGCAAAGAGCAGUGGAAUGUAGGGCAAGUGAGUGAAACUGAGUGGAAAAAAAAAAAAAUCUCAGUGAGACCGAGUCAGCGUUGGCAGCCUAUCUGCUGAUUGUGUGCUCUUUCUUUUCUUUUUUUUCCUCAUUUUCCAUUUACUUUUACUUCUUUGGAGCAUGUGGGAGCUCCACCCCCUCCUUGAAAAUCCCGACUUGGUAUCGUCCGACCAGCUGACAGGCCCAAAAAAACCCCUCCCUGUGCUGCUGUGAGUGCCAAUCAAAAAAGAGUGCUCAGCAGGGAUUACCUUGAGUGACCCCGCGUAGAUUAGUGCGUGCAUGUGAGAUGGACGAUUCUUUGGGCGGCUUAAGCGGCCUGAUGACACGCUUUCCUGGAAUAUGUGCGGCCGCGCUGCGGCCCAGCAGCCCUUCUAAGGAGCUCUGCAAUGGUGCCGUCCUGCCCCUCCACUGCUACCAGUCCCAUGGAGGCACUGGAGGCUAAAUUCCCACUUGGAACACGAGUUAGCUCUGGCGCUCGGCGGAGGAAAGGGCUUUUUGUUGCCAGCAAAUGAGUCUGCAGGUGUGAGGGCUCACCAAGACCUCUGCAGGUCUGCUGUGGAUCCUGCAGCUCUUCUAAGCUGUGAUGAUUUGAAUCCGUGAAUCUGGCUAAUUUGUACCACAUCUGAGUGUCGCUCCAUUGGAUUAGGAUCUACCGAAUUUAGAGACUCAAGCAACACCUCAGGCUUAUGUUCCUCAAAGCAGACCAGUUUGCGUGACAUUGCACUUUAUCCUGCUUAGAGAUGCCACUGUGUUUAGGGAGGACUGAAGGGGGUUGCAGGAACAUGAAAGCAUCACCAAAAACACUGGGAGCAAUUUCUUAAAUGGAGAUGUCUGUGACACAUGGAAGAAAUUAUGGAACAGGCGUUUUACUUUUUAAAGGUUUUCUUUUAUGUGGUGUUUUGUUCAACUCUAAAGCAUUUUCAAAAUUGAGAUUUCUUUCUAUGUUAAAAACGAGAUUCUUAGUUUGAGUUCAUUAAAAAUUGAGGGGAAACACUUUCUUUUUUUUAAAUAUCUUUUUAUUUUUGGCUCUGGUGGUCUUUAUUUACAGUAAUCUGACAGGAUGAGAAGGGGAAAAAGUCAUGUGGCAAAGCAUCCAAGGAUGGAAUUCAAACUCAGGAUGGCGAGGUCUGUGGCUUCUGUAUGCUGGCCGCUUUAUCCGCUGCUCCACGCGGCGCCUGGGGAAGCACUUUUUAACAUCCCGUAAAACCAAGAUGCUCUACUGAACUGCAGCAGUUUGUUUCAUUUGUGACACAGAAUAACAGCAGGAAAUGUUGACCUCGAGCUAUUGACAUGUUGCAUAUUUUUCAUUCACACCAUAAUAAUCGAAGGGUUAUAAUAAAUAUGGUUAAAAUAGAAUUUAAAUAGAAAACCUGGAAAUUGAGAAGUAAUAAAACUGAUUUAAUUAGGCCCUAUUUGAAGUGCUUAUAUGGAAACGGAAAACUGCAGUUAGCGAUUAAUCAAUUACUAAAGUAGUUGACAAGUAUUUCACGAUUAAUCACGAUGAAACCGAUUAAUCGUUUCAGCCCUAACUGAGAAAAAG